UGCAAUUGAGGCCGAUGACACGGGGAAGGAGCUACAGGGGAGGGGGAGGAGGCCGAUGUCAGGGGGAAGGAGAAGGCCGGCUCGGAUGCAUGGUGCGAGGCAGUAAUAGCGGCAGUGGAUCGAGAGAAGUGGAGAAGAGGGUUCCUCCAAGCUCCAUCCAUGAAUGGCGCCGGUCCAAUGCUCAGGGUGGCAUGCGGCAAUGUCGGGGACCAGCGAGGAAGAUGACCGGUGUACAUCCUUUGGGAUAAAGUUGAAGACAUGGUGAGUCUUGUGGCGCGAAGCCAACAACACGCAGCGGCAAGUCGAGCACACUGGCCUGAGCCGCACACCAACACCAUCAGGAGUUCGAAUUAUUCUGUACCUCAAGAGAGAGGAACAACGGACAUUGAGGAUUGCGGUGGCUGAUUUUUUAAUUUGUGUUUGCCUCAAGGAUUCUCAUUUAUCUUAACUUCCAUUUACUCAAGACAAUUACAACAUUGCUUCAUGACGAAGUAAAAUAAAAGCUUAUGACAGAAGAAACUUGCUUCGAUAGGCGUCCUUGUCGACCUCGCAAUUUCCAACCCAUCCUUAGGUACCAUCAGCUAUGACCCUAAUGGACCCCGAAUAAAAAGGAGAAAACAUUUGACACUUAUCAUGGCCAACCAUGAAACCGUGUUUCAGAAACUGCAUCAUAGCACAUAUUUCAACAAUCGUUUCCUGGUUUGUAAUAUGUACUAGCCUUCUGAAAAAGACUGAGGCUGCACUUGUUCCUGUCAGGUUGUCAUGUUACAAAAAGGCCUAUCUACAAAUAGGUGGACAAGAUAAAACAUUAAAAAUAGACUAGAGCACUUUCCAUCUCCAUUGAUAAGAAUUAGUGGCAUGAUUGAAGGGCGAGACUACCAGCUGGUGAAGGAGAGGAUAUGUAUUCGGCGUGUCCUGAAGAGGUAGUCCACGAACCGGCAAUGGAGGAAAUAAGGUAGAGAUGGCAAUAGCAGCAAGUACGUCAAGCGCUAGGGAUGUGGAUAUGGUGUGGCAUAAAGAGGUAGUCCACAAACCUCUGCUAGGUGCUCCUCUCUCACUUCUUGCAUCCUCUGGGGAUAUUCCUUCAUUAUUUGGUUACCUGUCAAUGCUCGGUCCUAUUUCCCACCUUGUGCUUUGACUUCUUGCAUUUUUUCCGUCUAAGUUAUUAGGCUACUGCUGCCUGGUUUGCCCAUGAUGAACCA